GCUGUAGCUCAGUGGAAGAGGAUUUGCUUUGUGUGUAUGCAUGCAUGCAGAAGGCUCCAGGUUCAACCCCUCGCAUCUCCA